CUGCAAGUCGAAGGCAACGUAGUUACAAUAAACAGGCACAAGAUGAUUAUGAACACACAGUCCGGACCUCGGUAUUUACAGACAACAGACACCACCUCGGUUCCUUUGAGAGACCUCCUGGCCAUGAUGUGUCAUGCAUGCAUUUCAGAAGACUGAUGGUCAAAGAGCGAGUCCUGCUGUGAUUUCAAAUGGCAGUCUCAGGAAGGGCUGGGAUUCAAAGACGGGAGCCCAGUUUUGAGAUAUCAGACUCCUUACUCAGCCUCCAAACAAUCAGUGCCACCAACCAGCCAGUCAGUAACCAUCACUCUCCCUAGGGACCAGGGGCUGAGACACCACUGCAGUGGCCCCUGUGAGCUUGCAGCUGGCACUGUCACCCACCUGACCCAGGAGAGAAAACAACCCGCCUGCCUUGAAAUGCUCUCUACCGCUCUGUCCUUGGUGGUUUUUAAGAGUCAAAAAAGGCAUGUAUUGAUCUUUACUCCUGUGAAUAUACAAAGAACCCAAUCAGAAGAUGUCAUCAGAUUCUGCAGUUUGACAAUACACGCCACAGACAGGACUCAGGACCUAACGUGCAACGGACUGCCUUCUCCCGAAUACCACAAUCUUCACUAUGUAAAAUGAAGCUCCAAGGAAAUUUAACCUCCUUGGCCUGUUCUUCAAAACUUCUUGGUUUCUGGAAUCUCCCUGAAAUCUGUGGAAGCCACAGGUGCCCAGCGCAUUUGUAAAACUAGACCACAUGUUACUCCAUUAAUUUUCAUACAAAAAUUUAAGCCCCUGUUUUUCCAAUACUCUGUCUGCAGUUCAGCUGGUAUAAGUGUUGGAGCCAAGGGCAGAGCAAUUCUAUGGACUUGUCAGUUGCUCAGAUGAAUGCAUUUCAAUUUCUAGCUUAUUGUGGUGUAUUUUUUUUCCUAGUGAUAAAACACCAGCACCAACGAAUGAAGAAUUCAAGGAAAGUUUCUCGCAUAGCUUAGCUACUGAUUUUAAGUAGCUAGACACAUGGUUUGUUUGAACACGAAUGAACACAGCUUUGGUUUACAUAAGGAAUAUCUAAUAUCUAACUUGACGAGCAAGUGAAAUAUUUUUGUACCAGAACAGCACAAAACAGCACUGCCCAUAAACAGUGAGCUGCAUUUAUAAUGAACUUAGCUGUGCUUUGAGAAAGCAAUAUCUGGAGGGUAUUUGUACUUAAUGAGGCAGGGGACAAUGAGUUAAAAGAACAAAAUUCCCACAGUAGGGGAAAAAUAAAAAUUAAACUGAAACUGGGAGUAAAGCGUAUGGCUCCUUACAAAGAAGUCAGAGCAACUUCUGUCAGAGCUCUACUGUCUGAAUUGACAAACAAAAUCACGCUAAUAGAUGAUAAAAACAUUAAGAAAUCUUCUACAAUCACAGUAUUUCUGCUGUUACAUCACAAGUCUCACAGAACAGCUUUGCAAAUAAAAGUAUAUAGACUUAAAUAUGCCCUUCGCUUCUUUGCACAAAAUAGGCUCAAUUUAUGUCUCUGAACAUUUUCCAGCUUAAUAUACGAUUCCAAAGGACGAGAUGUCUUGUUUAUUCCUGAGAGAGAAACCAGGGUCCUUAAAAUCAUAUUUUAUAAAUAUUAAAGCAACUUGAACAGUUUGCAUUUCACAGUGGCUAGCAGACUAAUGUUUAUAUUCAUUUAGUACAGACACCCUCUCCUCCCACUCUCAGGCUUGCUAGUUUUAACUUAGGUUGCUAAGUUUUAACAAUGUCUGCAAAACUGCGCUCACUUUGUUGUUCCUAAUUUUGCUCUCUCCCACUCCUCCUUCACUCUUGUCGUGGUUUAACCCAAUUAUUUAAGUAAUCUAAAACAAACACACACAGCUUGUUCCUCAGAAAUAUAUACUCUAGCCUAGGGGACAGAAUGCUUUUAUUUAUUCAUUUUCUGGUGACAUUACUGAAGAACAGUUUCUUCACAGCUUCCAGCAGGAUGUAAACAAAUGUAGCUGAUGCAUGAUAGGGAUUAGACAGUAGGAAAGUGGCACUCCUAUCGGGCCAAAGCAUAAAUUACAGGAGUUACAAGUGAUACGAAAAAAUUCUUUGGAACGGAUGGGGAGAGAACUCCAGUAUCUCAGACACACUACAAACAAACCAGUGUCUUAAUUUUGUUUUCUGUAGCUACACAGCGGCCAAAAUACAUGCCACAUACCAGCACUGCUCCACAAGUAAUGCCUCCUAUUUUAUUAUGCUGUCCCACGACAUUAGGGUGGUACGGCAGCAGAGUUUGAACCUUCCCACCAAUAUUGUCAUGGAGUGACAGAUGGCAGCAGAGGGGCACUCUGACACAAAGGCGUCUGACAUGGAAGUGCAUAUGAAGCAAAAAUGUGGAACUGAAUUUCUCCAUGUAGAAAAAAUGGCAUUCACUGACAUACAUCAACGCUUGCUGAAAGUUUAUGGAAACCAAACAGUGGAUGGGGCUGUUCAUUUCUGCUGAGGCAGCAGCAGUGUGAAAGACAAGCCACAUUCCAGAUGGCCAUGCAGAUUGUUAUGAGUGUGACAUGUAGGCUCUUGAUCAUCACUGGUGAAAAUGAAUAGCUAAGGGUGGUGACUGUGUUGAAAAAGAGUGUUUUGUAACUGAGAAUUUGCUCUAUCAAGCAGUGUUACUGUGCUUUCUGUAUCUGUUGUAGUUUCCAUGGAAAUAUGUAGGAGGCACUACUUUUGGAGCAACCAAUGUAUGUACUUUAAAGAUAUUUAAAACAUGCUCAAGGUGAGAUAUGAUCUAUCUACAGCCAGUUAAGCAAUCCCAGGAGACAAUAUUUAAUAUAUAUUUUUUUCUCUUUUAAAGAAGGAGAAUAUUUUGACUGUCCAAACCCAAACUUUUCGAAUUCAGUGAUCUGUAGCUCAGGACAUGUAGGUGUAUUACAGUCCCUUAACCUGGCAUGCACCGAUUUUUCUUCUCACGCAGAAUCUCCCCCGGCACAAAAAAAUGCUGAGCAUCUCCAGGACUCAGGCUGUAUUCAACCUGUCUCCUUACAGGCCUCAGUUGUUAACUUCUUGACUCCUGCUCCCACUGGCUUUCCCCACAGCUUUUUUCUCUGGAGAAUACUGUGAGACCAACCUAAGCCUGUUGGUAACCAGAGCAUCUAUUUCUUGGUUUCAGGCAGAAGGAAGCACUGAUACAAAAUUUGUAAUUCUGAAUUUAAAAAUGGUUUGGGUAAAAGUUAUGUUUAUUGGGCUGAUUGUUAUUGUUGGUUUUCCCCUUAAUAUUUGCACACUAGAAUAAACAAUGAUUUCACCUACAGAGCAUGCAAUCCAAAGGAAAAGCCAUGAAGGGUUUACAUACAACGAAGUCUGGUGACCCUCACAUUGUCUUUCGUAUGACCAAGUAUUUCUUAUCACUUGCUGUUCCACUGAACCGUUUGGACGCCAGAAGACAAGAUAACAGAAGUGAAUUAUGUGAAAUGUCUCUAAUUUAGUGUUUUAAAGUACUUAUAAUUCCAAAAGAAUCCUUGAUUUUUUUUUAUGUAUUUUUUUUUUAAGAUUGUUUUCUGAUUAUUGUUGUAGGGGCACUGACCCCAUCAAGAGAAGUGGAAAAAUUAGUCAGGGAUGCUGGCCUUAGCUCUAUUAAUACCUCAGGGCAUCCACUGGAAAUUAAAGUACUCUGUCCUCAAAUGCCAAAGCACCCUCAGUUCCAAAUGGGAAUUAAGCAAAGAAAACUGGAAGCUCACAAACAGGAAAUGGAAUAAUGGAACAAAAGUUAACACUAUUUCAGAACCUGGCCAUAAUGUUUUCACAGAAUGGCAGAAAAAGUACGUGAGGAUUUACCCAAGCUUUCAUCUGGUCAGAAAAAGAAAUCCAAGCAGUAUUUUGCUGCUAAAUGGCAGAAUUCAAAGCCAACCUGCAGCUGCACCACAGCAAGCAGUCUACCUGCUCUCUGGUACAUACGCUGCAGUUAGCCAUAGCAAUGAGAUGUGACCUCUGGGUGUGCCUCCUGCCUGCAGUUAGAUGACUGCAGUACCAUUACAGAUGCCAAAAGAAGCAUUUGCACAGAAUCUCUAACUUCGCAUAACUUUUCUACUUUGGAGGUGCCACAGUCACCAUUUCCUACCACUUCUGCUUUCCAGAUCAUGAGAUUGCCUACAUGCUCAUGCUAAAAACAAGGGAAUUUGCACCUAAACACCUAUUCCAUUGAACUUGCUUUUAUAAAGCUAUUUUCUCUGCAAGUUUGGGAAGGUUAAUUAUCCUUUAUAUUGGAGAUGUGAAGGAGAAAACAAACUGAGACAUUUUACUCAAAGCAUCCCUUUUUUGGUUUGUGAUUAUGUGCUUCCCUUUCAUAUUUGUAGCAACACUGAAAUCCUGCACUGUGUAAUUCCUGCGUUUUAUAAAGCAGCUGAUGCACAGAUAUCAAAAUCUCAAACGUAUGCCCCCCUCUCCCUUCGAUAGAACAAACUUAAACAUUUCAAAAGGCUCUCCCUGUACUGGUGACCCAUCCACUUAUUUGUGAAUACCUCUGCCUUGGUCCGAUUCCAAAGUUAGCAGAUUGGUAGGUAUAAAAUGCAGAUAAACUGUGCUGACAUUUCUAGGCAAAAGCUCUGUUUACAGGGUAGGCUAUUUUGAAGCUGAGCAAAAAUCUUUUGGAAAUACUGCACCAAACUGUCUUUCGCUUCAUUUAUCAUCAUCAGGUGCGAUCUUAAGCAAAACUUUAUCAAAGCAACAUUCCACUUUCCUGCAUGCUGAUUUUACAAAACUCACUCUCUGAAUGUUGUUCUACAUGAUGUCAUCACACUGUAACUCACUUCAUUUACAGUAUCUGUUUCACUUCUACUCACAAGCUAAUAUAACUCAUUUCUUUCUUUCUUUCUUUUUUUUUUUUUUUUAACUGCACACAGGCUGCUAGACACAUGUGCAUAGCAAAUGGAAUCUGAACUUAGCUUAACAGCCUCAUUUAUUCCUGAUGGUUUAAAUUAUUUCAUCACAAUUAAUGACACCCCCUCAGCUUCCUGUGCAGCGCUGCCAGAUGUUCAGAGACCACAAAGCCACUCUCUUCUUUGACGGCUAGUGACAAGUCGUCCUCUGAAGGACGUUCCCUCAGUACACAGGCCGGAUGACACCUCCACUGCUUAGCACCUCUCCACCUCCCUGGGUAACCAUGGUGAGAGAAGGAGGAAGACAUGAGAAACCAGCCCGUGCAUUAGUAAGGACAAAUUAUGUGAAGCGUUCUGGACUUGAAGGAUCUCAUCUCCUCCUACCGGAUUUUCCAACCUGACUGUUUUAUAAAAAAGACAGACAACUGUUUGCCUCGACAUUCAAGGUGUUAAGCUUUCUAUGCUUCAUUAAAAAUAACCUGUCCUUCCUUACAAGGGGAAAAAAAAACAAAACCAAAAAAACGCGGGGGGGCAUGAAGCGAAAAAUACAAAUUGCAGCCACGUGGGAAGCCCUUACUUGGAAUACUAUCUCACUACUCCAUCAUCUUCAAAAGCAGAAUGCAACAAAUGCUAAGUCUUAGAAAUGCUGUGCUCACAUUCAGCUUAUUUUAUUCUUAUUUGUCGCUGUUGUCUUCCUGUCAGAGGAAGCAGAUUUUCCCUUACAGCGCUCCUCUCACAGUACUUAGGUAUUCUUCAGGACAGGAGGAAUGCAGGUAAUUUAAGUGAAAAAAAGUUGUGAGCAUGGAUAUCACUCUGAAAAUGAGAAGAUAGGCUCUGUCUCUAAAAAGAGGUAAGUGAAAAGUGUAACGAAAGUGUAGCUCAUGCAACUGCAGCCCUGGAUAAGAAAACAGCAAGUGUCUUGCAUUUUUUAAGAUUAAAAAGCAAGCAUCUAUGCUCCUGAAAUUCCAUCCACUAUUUCAAGCACAUAUGGCAGACAUUCUAUCGAGUUGUGUUUUUUUUUUUUUUUAUUAUUAUUAUUAUUGAAAAAAAUGCUGAUCCAUGUGAAGGACUAAAGGGCUGUUCAGAUUGCCAAAAGUGUAGUAUUAAAACAGAAAGGCCACCUGUGUUAGCCCACCCAAUAGAAAAGUCAGGAGCUGGAAAGUUUGUCUGUCUCUCUCUCUCUCUCUUUUUCUUCUCUUUUUUUGUUAAACACAUUUAAAGUAGGGAAAAAUAUCACCCACCAACAAAAAAUUCUAGAGAGCAGUGCCAGAAGAGAUUUGUGCGUGAGUCUAGUAAUGUGUGUGGCCACUCCAGAAUUACUCCUGUUACAAUAAAAAUUAGUUCCUCACUCAGGAUGUUAAAAGCUACUUUGAAGGAAAGCUUCUUCAGAAUUUUCCUAAAAAUCCAGUAGCAGGACUGAAGGAAAGGCAGAGAUGACACAUCUGUCACAGCUUGUUUUUUUCACUUGUUUUUUUAACAAGUGUUUCACACAAAAGUAGUCAGGUAUUCCUUUAGUUACUCAGUACAAUCAUUUCAGCAGAUGACUCUGUAAAGUGUCAUAUAUGUAUAUAUAUACCGGGAGGAGAUGAGAUGCAUACACAGUGACAACAGAACUCCUGAGCAGUUUUACACUUAAAUUACCUUUUCCAUAUGUGUUUAAGUUUUUCCAGAUGUGUUUAAGUUCACAUGCAAAAUACACACAAAUAAAACAAACUUAAAAUCCAAACCCCCCUCAAAAAAAAAAUAAUAAUAAUAAUAAAAAACCUUACUUUCAAAUGCAUUGAGAUUUAUGGAGAGUCACAUGGACUUCGUUCUGUUGUCUCUGAAUGUUUUAUUGGGGGGAGUGGAGGAGCUGAAUAAACUUUAAACUCUCAUGUAGGGAUGUAUUGCCUGUGUGUCCCUGGCAGAUGUGGAAAGGAGAUGAAAUGGGCAAGGGAGAAUCGAAUAUCCCAUCACUGCAGGUUUGUGAAGGGGAAAGAACACUGCAAAGAUCUCACAUCUGGCAAUCAUUUGUCAAUAGCUGGAAAGAGAACGGCAGGAAACUUUCUGGCUCUUGUGGAAGAUGAAAAGACAAAAACCAUGUGUCACACAUGCACAGUGCUGGUACAAUGACUACUACAUUUAUUCCUCCUCCCCCCCCCCCCCCUCUGCCUUAAAUUUAAUGAUCUUCAGAUAUACUUUACUCUUUGGUCAAAAUCAUGCAGUCACUUGAAUUGUUAAAGCUGCAGUGUAUGUACAUUUUUCAAAUAAACCCCAGGGCUGAUGUUAGAAAAUCAAAAUCAUUCAAGCAUAGGCUGCCUGGUACUUUGGGCAGGAAUCCUUGUGGUUUAGUCAAUAAACAGAAUCUAAAUGAAAGACACCACAGUAACUAGACAGUAAUGUUUUGAACAGUUUUAACCCAAAAAGGGAGAGAGACAGAGAGACAGAGGCUGACUGAGUGGCCAGAUACAAUGCUACCAAGUCCACAGAGAUCACUCUCCUGCAUACAGCAUCUGUGUUUGAGCACAAGGUCACUUGCUGUUUCUUUAGAGACUAUUUGUGUUUAGAAGUAUUGUUUUACAUUUCUUCUGCAGUUCUGGGUUUGUGGUUUUCUUUUUGAUUCUUGUUUUUGUUUGUUUGUUUCUUUUAUUUCCAGAGAGAUUUUAUUUACUUCACGGAAAGAUCUAUUAAAUAAAAAUGUAAGGAUCACUUUGCACUGAGACACAGCGUAAGAUUUUACUGUCUAAUUCACUAAUGUCACGUUGUACAAUGUUGUGAAAAAUCCUAGGGAAAGAGUCUACAGUCUACAAAAAUUAAAUAGGCCCAUAUUCACUGGUUUUACUUGUGUGACUGAUGGUCCUUCACAGCUUGCUUUCAAUUCAUUCUUCUAGUGCUUUUAAGGAGAAGCUGCUGCAACAGGAGCACAUCUUGUCCCUGUGAAUCUGCAAGUAAAUGCUGCAGGUUGUUUAAUCUGGCAAAAUCACAGUAGCCUGCCAAAUUAUAACAGGAAUAGUAUCUCCUCCAAACAAGUCUGAUCAUGGUUAAUUACAAUGCAGACCAGAGAGCAGCCACAAUUAUUCAUUAUUACAGGAAGCACCUUAUUUAAAUUUUAUGGAAAUUUGCACUUGCACUCCAACAUGCUUGGGAAAAAAAAAAAAAAAAAAAAAGAGGGAAAAACCCACUCACACAAGGAAGAACGUUAUACCUCUGAAAUAUCACAAGACACUGUGUAUAGACUGGGAGUGAAAUGUUGCCCUGAUAUUUACCUCAAGACAUCUCAACGGCAGCAUUUAUCACAUCCAAUUGGCAUCCAAAUUUCUUUCAAGUAAUAUUUAUUAGUAUAAUCACAGGAUUUGUAAACAUCAUAGCAAAACGUAACAAAAUCUAUUUUGACUGGAAAAAAAAACAGCUAAAAUGCCCUAUCUUUACAAAGAUAUAGAUGGGAAGGUAGACAUUUAGACAGAUGGGCAGACAGAGAGGUAUUUGUACAUAUGCAGAUAUAGUGUCUGUGUAGUAUUGUACAGGCUGCACUAUCCUUUAUAUUAGGGACAACUCUUUCCUUUUAUAUGCUCCACAGCACAAUUAAGUUUCAAGUUCCAAAGCUGAAAACAAGCAGAAAAGAGGGGAAGAGGAGUGGGGCUGCUUUAGGGCAGUCCACCAGUACCAGCACAUCAGGAAGUCUCACUGGCAUAAGCAAGUAUUGCUGGCCACCAGAGGAGAACACACUCCCACACCGAUGGCAAUUCUACAUAACAAAACAGAGUUGGCUGUGCACCGUGGGGACACAGCAUUACUCAUUUUUUCCUUUUUUGUUUUGUUUUGUUGUUGUCGAGUAUUCCAUUUUUGUAACUGAAAUCAUUCUGCAGUUGCAAUAGAAAGGUGGAGUGAAUGAGCAAGGACAUUAAAUCCGGUAUCUUUAUUAGCUAAGGGAGAAUCUCCUAUCAGAGAAGCUGAAAUCUGAAAAAUUAAAAGCAAAAGGAAAUGAAGAAUUGGAAAUAUACUGCACUGACAACUUCCCCAUCAGUCGUAUAUGGGUUUACAAAAGAAAUACAUGUUUUCAGCUACUAUCUGCCUGUAAGUGGUUUUCCUUAAUGUCACUCAUAACUGUAAGAAAUGAGCCACACAGGCAACACUUAAAAAAAACUUUCCAUCUUCAAGACACUGCCUAAACAUUAGAAAAGCAAUGCUUGUCCAGAUAAUUACUACUUAACUUAGAAGUGAACAUUAAUGAACACUUCAGGCUUGCCAAUCUGCUUGCACUUCAGGAUCAUACUUGUUUUUAUAAAUUGAUAAAACAUAAUAUGCCCAUGUAUCAACAUGCUACUUCCACACUAACCCCUCACAUCACUCACUGCUCUGUGUGUAACACAUGAAGAAUGCCAAUGCAUUGGCCAAUGUGGCAUCUUCUCCUCAGCCUCCAAGGGAAACAAGUGGACCUGGAGAGAUGCACUGCAUCUGGCUGGCAUGGAGCUCUCUUUCCCCACAGCAGCCCGUACAGUGCUGUGCUCAGCACCUGUAGCCAGAGCAGCAUUGAUAUCCCACCAAUGUUUCAGCUGUUGCUGAGCAGAGCUAGCACAGGAUCAUGGAUGGCUCUCUAAGCCUUCCUCCAAAAAACAGCAGUAUAGGGGUGAGCAAGAGCUGGGGAGGGAACACAGAAGGGUCAGCUGAGCUAAGCCUGACUGGAAAGCUGUAGCACCUUUCAGAAAAGCUGACAGAACUGAGCUUGUUCAGCCUGGAGAAGAGGAGACCUCAUUGUAGCCUACCAGUUCUUAAAAGGAGCUUAUAAACAGAAGGGAGACCAAUUUUUCUACAUGGGAAGAUAGUGAUAGGACAAGGAAGAAUGGGUUUAAACUACAAGAGGGGAGAUUUAGCUUAGAUGUAGGGGGAAAUUCUUUACUCAGAGGGUGGUGAGGCAGUAAAACAGGCUGCCCAGAGAAGCUGUGGAUUCCUCAUCCCUGAAGACAUUCAAGACGAUGCUGGAAGGGGCUAUAGACAGCCUGAUCUGGUGGGUAGCAGCCCUGCCUAUGACAGGGGGUUAGAGCUGGGUGGGCUUUGAGGUCCUUUCCAACCCAAGCCAUUCUAUGAUUCUACAACUCUAUAAUAUUCCAUGCCAUGUGAAGUUGUGCUCAGCAAUAAAAGUUACAGGGAAAAAGGAGAAGGGCUGGGAUUCACUUUAUGAAAGUGUUGGUUUCAAGGGUGGAGUGAAUCUGGGCUUUGCAGUUUUAGGUAGCUCAGUGCAACAGUAAGCAACAGCAUGUAAUGACCUUAAGUUGCUCCAGAAGACAUUCAGGUUGGAUGUUAAGAAAAAUUUCUUCUCAGAAAGACUGGUGAGGUAUUGGAACAGGCUGCCCUAGGAGGUGGUGGAGUCACUGUCACUGGAGGUAAAUGGUUAAGUGUGGCACUGAAGGACACAGGUUAGUGGGCAUGGUUGUGAUGGGUUGAUGUCUGGACUAGAUGAUCUUAGUUGUCUUUUCCAACCUUAAUGAUUCUGUGAGUCUCUGAGCAACUGCUACAUAUAUUGAGGCCCUGCUUCCUAUGAUGUGGCGAAUAUCACUCACUGAUGGGAAGUAGAGAAUAACUGUUUUCUCCUUUUGCUUCCACGUGGCCCCUGGUUUUCUUUUUUCUUUUUUUUCUUUUUUUUUUUUUUUUACCCUUUUCCUUUAAUUAAGCUGCUCCUUAUCUUAAACCAUGAAAUCUUCCUUUUUUUCAUUGUAUUUUCUCCUUGUCUUUCUGAGGAGGCAUGGUGGAACUUAGUUGCCCAUCAGUUGCUAAACCACUCAAAUUAUGUAGAUUUCAGUUGACUGAAUGUGUGACUGAAGUUACUUUGGCUUUUUUACGUUGUUUGUUUGUUUACUUGACAAAAAAUGUCAAAUAGAAAGAGGAAAGAAAGGGCUGUACAAAACCAAGAUAGCCUUCAAGAAGUGUCAUUUCCUGUAUCAAUGGAACCAGUCUUAUUUCCUUCAAUGAAGGAAGGUUCUUGGUGGUUGUUUUGUUUGGUUUUGUUUUGUUUUUUGCAUCAAAACAGAAGCAGUUUUCAGCAGCUGCAGACCCAGUUUACAAAGUUCACUGGGCAAAAUCAACACACAUGCAGAAAAAAAAGGUUUCCUUCCUUCUGCUCUCCCUUUUAACUCCACCAGCACCAUGAGCUCAAAUUCUGCUCAAGAGAGUCUUUCACAUGCUCUGCAAAUCUCAACCAUUAACAGUGCAGCAUAUAGAUUCUAACAAAAUUCCAGCUUUGUGCUUCUGAAAUCCAUACCUCCCUUACUACCAUCUUGAGUCAUCGCUUAUUGGAGUUUUCAACCCUGUAGGUUGCCAUGUGUUGACAAUAAAGUUAGAUGGAAAUGAAGUUGGACAAUGAAAACAAUCUAAAACAAUUCUGAAGCAGUGAGUUCUGCCUUCCAGUGGAGGUAACAUACUUUUCUCUUGAGAAAAACAGCCCACACAGAGGUUUGUGAACCUGCAGCUGGACUGCUUUUGGCACGCAAGCUGAUUUGGAUUUCUCCAUUAGAAGACACAUUAUUACACAGACAAACUGAAACACCUUCCAUUAUUCAAGUUGUAUCUAACUAAAAUAGCAGUAAAAAAAAGGCAAUGACGGAGAGCUCUUUGCUGCUAAAACAAAAAUGAAGACCAUCUCCAUUCUUUCAUGGUUGAGCUUUCCCAAUUCUGAGCAUAAAGGAGACAAGUUAUAGCCACAAAGCAGUUGUGUUGCAUGCUUUUUCACCUUACAAAAUCAAUGCCAUGUGGCCUUGUUUCUUCACUGUACACUCUGGAUAACGAUUACUAUGCAGGUAUGUUUUUACCAUAAAAGCAGUGCCAACCAAAGGACAGCUGCUAAAUAAAAUGCUACUUGAACGUUAAAUUAGUAUUUCUUAUCUAUAGAGCAUUUUGUUCACACUACUUUUUCCCUCUUAAAUGCUUCAGCUUUGCAAGUAGGUUUCCUAUUAAUGUAGCAUGAAACUUGUAGUAUAAGGGAUUUCUCACCUAUUGCCUGGAUCAUGUCAUUCCCCUCUUUGAUGUGGAAGGUAAAGGAAGCUGAUUCAAGUCCAGGCUCUUCAUCCCAAACUUCAAGGCUCUGAACAACUCUGCUCCUGGCUACAUUUCUGUUCCCCAUCAUAUUCCUUUCAUUCUGCUCCCUGAAGCCCACAGCCUUCCUUCUCCCUUGUCUUCAGACUUUAUUUCACGUCCUUUUUUACACCUGGGCAGCUGCUCUCACUGCAUUCCACUUUCUUUAAAGCAACUAAUUUCUUCUGUGAAGUACAAAAACCUUAAGCCACCUAGGGAAAGUUGUCUCUGUCCUAAAAUUAAAUGCACAAUUUCAAUGCUCAGAGAGACAAUCAUCCUAGGGCCACCAUGAGUGUUUCACAUCUGGAUCACUCCAAACAUCUGUUUACAUUAUGAGUAGAUACAGGAGGGGGCCAUCUAGUAUUGUUUGUUCAUAUAGUGCUAGGUAUACUACUGCCCUUAAAUCAAACACUCUUUUAAUGUCACCAUUAAUGCAGUUUAAAAACUUCUCCUACAACCAAAUGUUUCGGUCAUUGGCUGCUAAUAUACAUUUUACAUAUACACUUUUUUUUUUUUUCCUUUUCUUUUCUUUCUUUCUUUCUUUUUUUUUUUUUUUUUUUUUUUUUUUGCAAGAAUUCAAAUAAUUUCAAAUGUAAAAAUGCCAUUGCAGGAUAAUAUUUACAUUGAGACAUUCUCAAAACCAUUGAAACAGGAUGUUUAGGGUAUUCAAGAGAUUUAAAAUCAAAUCUGUGAGGAAGGAAUAACAAUCUUCCAUCCUCACCAGAAGGAUUACUGAGCAGAAUUCACUAGAGAAAAAUGGAAAACUAUUUUAAUCCCACCUGGAGGGAGGAUAUUGCAAUAUGACAGAUACAUUGGGAAGUCCUUACUCUGGAAAACAAAGUGGGAACAGCCUUUUGCUGAGACAUUUUGACUUAAAAAUUAAAAAAUAAAUAAAAAUAGAAUGUCCUGAGAGCAAGAAACCGUUUUUUCCUCAAUGCCAUUGUUUCUCAAAUAUCAACUGUGUAAGACACCUAAGGUGUCAGUUCUGGUUCAAGGAACAUAAAAGUGUGGAAGCCAAAUAUCAAAAGACAAUUUACACUGUGAAACUGAAGGGAAAAUUUCUUCUGUACAGCUGUACAGCGCUAUUUUUUGUAGGCCUAGAAAAAGGGCACCUUUAGGAAGACACCAGCAAAAAGAUAACAUCUCAGAGAGAUCAGGAGAUACUCUAUGGUAGAGACUGUGACACAGGACUACACAAAGAUGGCAAUGGAUGAAGGGCAUAAGGGCGUUUCUAGGCUAUCACAUCCAAAUGAAAGUAGAAAUGGAAUUUGAUAAGAACACCAGCACUGGGUUCUAUCUGAAUGUUUAUGCUUUCCAUAUGUAAACCAUUAGUUUAUAUUGAACUCUUAAAUUCAGGAGGACUAAAUACCUGAUACACAGUUGCAAUAUUCUAGCAUUACAAGUAGUUCUCUUUGUGAGGAAACUGAUGGUUAUAAGUCACAACCCUGCCAGUGUUCCAACACUUGUGCUCUCCAACAUUCCAAGGUUCUAAAAAAAAAAAUCCCAUUUAAGCCAAUAGAGAAUCAGUGUUUCAUGUGAAACUCCUUUCAUUUUCAGCAGCCGGCACUGAAAAUGCAAGAAUGUAUACAAGAAUGAAGAAUGGAGAAUCACAGUGUUUGAAAUAUCACAUGGUGUCACCAUGAAGUAAUACGUGGCAACCACAACCAACCUCUUUCAUCUAACACAAGUAUUCACUUUACAGAAAACUACUGAACAGGCAAAAUUUUGUGUGUAAAUUUAAAAAAAUUAAGCAUUCACAGGACUUAAGUUUUUCUUACAGAAUAUAAAAAUUGUAUCUUCUUCAAGACUUCAGAAAAAAAGAAACAAACAAACAAAAAACUAUUAGGUCUACGAUCAACUGUGAAAAAUGAAGUCAGACCUUUUUCCCUAAAUGAGCUACAGAUUUUUAUGUGAGGUUGCUAUUUUUCUUACGUAACCAGCUACCACAACCUCAGAGUCACAAGUUACAUUCUCUUCAUAAGAAGACCAUUGUGGUUUUCAGUAUAAUCACCAGCUUGUAUACUUUGGCAUCCCAUGGUCACUUCGAUCUCUGAUAGUGACAGAAAAUUAUGGUUUUAUCCCAUGUCUUAAAGCUCAGAUUAUCUUAGUUACUGAAAUGCACACACAAUGUCUAUCUCAGCGCUAUCUAAACUACACCGGGCCGGAAUAGCACUGCCAAGAGCAUUCAUUCUCUCCAGGAAGCAGAGUAAUAUUGUAUCAUCAUCCUGAGUUCCCACUUUCAACUGGAAUCUGAUUCAAAAUAGCCAUUCUAGUUUUCAAAAUUCUUCAAGGAGGCAGAAAAUCUCCACCAAGUCUUAACAGAACACAUUCACAUUGGAAUUUCUAUUGAAUCUAAAUGUAUUCCAGUGACUCAUUUUGACAGCAUGGAAAGCUAUCGAAUGACAUGACCUCAGUCCUCACCCCUCUUAUCUGUCCUUUUCUUUCCACUGGUCAUCUUCCUUGCACAUGGAGCUUUCUCUACUAUGCUUUUUCAAGUCACUAAGUUAUCCUUCUUCAUCACUCACCUUUUACUUUUCUCUUCAGUGUAGCCAGCUUAGCCUCUGUGACUUCUCAUUUUGUACCACUACAUCUUCCUACUCUUCCUUAAGUACCCUAUGGAAACUGGUCUGCAUUCCAGCUUAUCUUUAUCCUCUGGUUCAAGGAUUUUCACGAUGCUUUGGAGCAUGGAGGACAUCUUAAGACACAGUAUGCUGUUAGGACCACUUCUCCUUCCACUCAUGGUCAUGUGGAGCACCUGCACCCUCAUCUGCAAUUACUUAACAUCCCAUUGGGACUAUAUAUAUGGAAAGCAGCAAUAGGAAAAUGUUCAUUCCAUUCAAUGUCAGAGAGCAAAGAAGAAAGCCAGCACCACAUAAGCAGUCAGCUCUCCAUGGACCACCACCAAGUGCUUUACAGAGCAUCAGAAAUGAAAGACUUCAUCCCAGUGCUCCAUCCUGCACUGCACUCAUGAUCACCACUGUAAUUGUCCCAAACAACACAGCACAAAGUAAUUUCUGGAUCUACUUGACAUCGUAGGUCUCUGGACUCACUGAAUUCCCUCCACUCCCAGUUAUUACAUGCAACCAUUCAUUAUGUUAAGGCUGUGACUGGAUUUGAAUUUUCCAAAUUGGUAUCUUGAUAUCUGCAGAACUGCCCUUGAUAUCUGCAGAACUUCAGUGCAGUAGACAAGCAAGUUUUACAGAAGUAUUAGAAGCAGAGGACUUUACUGAUUUUAAACCACACAAGCUGUCAAUACAAUCAAUACUAUAUUUCAAGCCCUAGAAAUGGAAAGAAAGUAGAAACAGAUAAUCUUGAUGUGAUCAAAUGGGAACAUGUUCCCUAAGGGGCUCCCUGACAUAUUUAAAGUCACAGGAAAACAUGUCAAAGAAUGUUUAUCUUCGAGGAAUUAAAAAGCAUUCUCAGAUAAGUUUAAUAUAGAAAUCUACACUUCAACCUGUUUUGUCAUUUACAAUUCCCAAAUGGUAAAAAUAUUAAAACCAGGUUGGGAACAAGCAUGAUUAGACAAGCAUUUAGUGUCUUUCACUUUAUGAAUUCUAAUAUUAUACAGGUUUGUGAACCAGGUUUGACUUAUUGAAGAACAAAUCAAAUAAAAACACUGUUAUUACUCCAUUGUAAAACUAUGUAUUUAAAAUGCAAUCUGUACCUUUGUACCUUACUUGUCUUUUUUCUUUGGCUCUCCUUAUUCAAGUGUGAUGGUGCAAAAGGCAGGCAGCGUAUAAGGAUUCAAACACUUUGAACUCUGUAGACCAUACAAAUUCAUAGUUUGAGAUUACACUGUACUGAUUGCUACUAAAAUUUUGAUAAUAAUGUUCAAGUUUUAAUGGCUGAAUGACAUUUGUCUGAUAGAAAGCUAGAUUUAUCUCUGUCAAAGAUGCAGAAAUGUACGGAAAGGGUCUUUAAAGUGUCCCUCUCCAAUCCCUUGGGCAUUGCAGCUCUGAAAGCACAGCUACUGUGCUGUAUCUCUCUCAAAGGAAUAACAACUCUGUGUGAAAGAGCUAUUUACAACUUGCUUUGUGUAUCAUCAGCAGAAACAAAAGAUAGAACAACAAGCAUAUAAAGGCUUUUUCCUAUUUAUCCCUCCUGACCUUUAUCUCUGCCACCCACCCAGGAAAUAAGGGGGAGGUAGGUAUGGGGCACAGCUUUUUAUGUCAAGUUUUCAAGGUAAUAUCCUGAGCUACAGAAACAAAAAAUCUGCUCAGUUGUUCUCUCUUCCCUUCCUCAGACAGACAUGGACAAGGCAGAUUCAGUAUUCCUAUACCAAGUCUGCUCAGGGGCAGCAAGUGCCUGCUCAUGGAAAAAAUUAGGAGUGAUGCUCUUCUGACCAGAAGUUGAAAAGACUGGUGGAAGGAAGACAUAUGACUUCAAUGGCUGAAGCCCGUAGUGGAAAAUGCCUAGAGCUAUAUCCCUCUUCAAAACAAAAACAAGACUCAGAAUCUUCUGAGGCCAGUGAUCAUCAAGGAAAGAUUAACAGGAUUUGGGGAAGUUACAGGGAAAAUCUGCAACAGGAAGAGUAUUGGUUGGACAAGAAGGCACCACUUCAGGAAUGCCACUGUCAUUGUGGAAAUUCCUCUGUCUUUCCAGAGGGAAUUGACAGUUGCUGGACAGUACUUCUGAGACUGCUAGGGAAGUAACAGUUUGUUCUAAAGUUCCACAGGUGAUGACAAGAAUCACAGAAUCACAGAAUGGUCUGUGUUGGAAGGGACCUCAAGGAUCAUGAAUCUCCAACCCCCAUGCUGGGCAGGGCCACCAACCUCCCCAUUUACUAGACCAGGUUGCCCGGGACUCAUCCAACCUGGCCUUGAACACCUCCAGGGACAGGGCAUCCACAACCUCUCUGGGCAGCCCGUUCCAGCACCUCACCAUUCUCCUGGUAAAGAACUUCCCCCUAACAUCCAACCUAAAUCUUCCCUCUUUCAACUUAAAACUGUUCCCCCUUGUCCUGCUGUUAUCUACCCUUUCAAAGAGUUUAUUCCCUUCCUGUUUAUAGGCUCCCUUCAGGUACUGAAAGGCUGCAAUGAGGUCACCCCGCAGCCUUCUCUUCUCCAGGCUGAAUAAGCCCAGCUCCCUCAGCCUGUAGAGUUUGGAUACUGACACUUAACCACAAUUUCAGGAAAAGAGUGGAGGAUUAUCUUUACUUCAACAAUUUUUCCCCUCUCCUACAAGCAAUUUUGGUAAUUUUAAUCUAGCAACUCCUAUGCUUUACCUAAAAUAUGCCAGAGUAUAAGCUGAUGCUCUUUUCUAAUUGGAAGCUUCUGCUGUGGCUUGUUGGACUCAGUGCAAUGGCAGAAAGGAAUGUUUUCUGAAAAGCUGAGCAAGUGCAAAGAUGAAUCAGCAGAUGGUCCCCACACUCAAGUAGCUAGCACAGAAAGAUCCAAAAAGAGGAUUUCUGAAACAGAAAUUAAAGCUUACGGCACGUUCUUUAGACAUGAAAGAUACUAUCGCAAGAUAAGGCACCUGUGCAGAUCAAAGAACUCAGGUAACUGUGGGGCUUAAAGACUUUGGCAGAAAUGACAUCCAAGUAUAAUGGCACUUGGCAUAUCCAUACACUUAUGAUCAUGAAAGAUAGACUUUUAAUUCAGUAUACAAUGUUUUCAUUAAUGAAUGAAAAUUGCAGCAGGAGACAAAGCCUGGAAAAAAAAAAAAGAAAAGAAAAAAAAGAAAAAUCCCAAAAAACAAAACACUGAGAAAAAUGUGUCACUGCUUUCAGAAAUAUAUUGCUGAUGCUCAUAUUUACAAAAAGUUUCACAUUUUGAAUUAUUCUUCAUGGUUUUUCUCAAAUAAAAUGCCACAUACAUGUUUUCUCACCAAAAACAGCAACAACGACAACAACAAAAAUUAAGUAUAUUUUAUAAGAAAAUUCAAUACAUGAUAAUCUAGUUUCCUUUCUAGUGCAGCUUUCCAAGAAAUGGGCAAUGCAUCAGUAAUACUAAAUUAACAAGUUGUUCAGGGCAGAACAUAAUAAUACUGUCUUUGGAAUGAGAUCAAUGAACCAAGGUGGUUUUCUUUGUAGGUGAGGCAUGAAUUUGGUUGUGGAGAACAGAGGAGGAAAAGAGAUGAUUUGCUUCAUGUGAAAUAAGAACACUGCCAACACACACCCCUGUCACUGAGUAUAGUCAUUAAUUUAAAAGCUCUCCCCCUCUGUUAUACAAAUUUUCCAAAGCCUCAGAAGAGAAAUAUUUUACUUCUGCUUUGCAAUUAGUUUAUAUCUAAAAUCUUCAUCAUGUUCUUGGUCAAAAAUUAAUUAGACUUCUAGCAAAAGACUUAUGAAGUAUUAUAUUGCUGUAUGGAUGAGAAAGGCAGAAAAUUUCCCUAACAGCACAUGCAGUAUCUCAUUUUUGGGGGGAGGGGGAUCAUAAAGAAUCUUCAAAUUAUACGAAAGAUUUGAUACUUUUUCCUUUCCUAUCUUUCUCUCAUUCCGAGGUCUACAAAUAAGCCCUGUGAAUUCAAAUUUUAACUACAAGGUUUGAAGAAGAGCUUCUGAAGAAAAGCAUUUCAGCCAGAAAAAGGCUAGCAUUUUGCACUUUUAAUACUACUAUGAGAUUGGUCUCAUGUCUACAUCACUGAGCUGAGUCGCUUGCAGUCUCUGGUAAGCACCAGUUAUUUGACAGUAGAGAGCAAGAGUAGACAAAUAGAUAAACUCAGUAUUAAUGCACUAAUUCUUUUAACACAGUAUUUAGUCUAGUAGAUAAUGCUAGACAUGUAAAGAGAGGAAUAUACGUUACUCUGUGGAUCAGCACAACUGUUAGCACGUUUUUUUCUCCUUGUCCUACUCAUCCCAGCACAGAUAACACAGUUCAAGUGACAGCGUUUGUGCAGCACUUUCACUGUGAAAAUACAUCAUACAUGCAACAUCAAGACAUGUAGUGGAUGGAUUUCUUUCCUAGUGUUUUAUCGUUCUUCUUUGCUUUCCAAGUGAAGAGCAACCUGUUUGUUUGCUUCUCUCUCUUUGUUGAAGACUACUCCCUGGAGAACCUUGUUUAUUUGUUUUAAACUUGUUUUUACAGGUCUGCUAAUAAAAUCAGGUGGAGAGGAGAGAUGUGUGUGCAGGUAAAAAAAAGUAGUGCCUGCAAGUGAUAUCAACACUUAUUCAUCGGCAGUAGUCAAGUUCAGGCUUAGUCCACACCCAGAAGAUGCAGGGAUGCUUCUGCCUUCUAAUUCAUACCUGAGUCUAACGCGGUAGUGGAGCAAUCUGGUGAAAGCAUGCUGAUCAGAUGAAGAGCUAUUAACUAACUCUGCUUAUUGGUCCAAAUUAUCCUACCCUAUGUAGUUGUCAAAAUUCUUGCUUAGGAUUGACUUAUGUACUUACAGAAAGACAAAAGAAAACCAAAAUUAGGUAGACUUUAAAAUUCACUUACAAAGAGUAUACUUUGAGGCAGUUUUGGAAUAACACUACAUGACAAUGAAAGACAAUUCCAUCUAACUAUGACAGGAUUUUUUUCUUCGGAAGACUGAAAAUAUCUUACCCUUGGAUAUAUGCUUUUUUUCCCCUAAAAAUGUAAAGAACAGAAAAAGUGAAAAGAAAUUAAAGCAUAUGUACUUGCUUCAGUUUACAUUUUAUUUCAUGGUUUGAUUUUGCCACUGAUUUUUGCUGGGGUGGAGUCAGUUUUCUCAGUUCUUUCAAGUGAUAAAGCUAACGAACUAUCAAUAUUGCCAUAAAGUCAACAAGAAAACCAAAACAAAUCAACAAAAAGCGUCCCAUCAAAUAAUUUAUGCUCCUUGCCAUCUAAGUUUUCUUGUAGAUACUUGCAUACCUUGUUGUUUCUAUUUCUCAUUUUCCAGUCUCUCCUAAUGUGGACUUCAAAUUUAAGCCAAGGGCUUAAUUCUAAGCACAUGAAAUAUCACCUUUUGCAUAACUACUUUACUUAUUCGUAGCCCAAACACCUAAAUAAUUUUUUUCAAAUUUAGCCUUGAAAGAACUUCUUACCAAGAAUUAUUUACAUAACAAGGUUCAAAGCUAUCUUUUUUUUUUUUUCCCAGCUACCUGCAAAAUAAAACAUUGCAGUUUUUUUUUUUUUUUUUUUUGAACUCUAGAACAACUUGGAAGAUUUUCACGAAAGUGCAAAAGAAUAUACUAAAAACCCCACAAAGAAAAACAGAAAAAAAAGACCCACAGCUUAGACAUGGCUAGAAGCAUGAAAAAAAAAAAAAAAAAAAAAAAAGUAGAUGUAAAAGUGAUGAGAAGUCAUUAAAUUUUUCUUAAAUUCUGAAAUACUUUCUGACACGAGACAGUGUAUGAAGACCGCACAUAGAGACCUGCAUGAAGAACUGCACAACUGUAAAGAGUUCUGUAUCUUCAAGACCGCCUCUCUCUCUGGGUGUAGUAUGCACAUCGGAAACACAAUACAGGCCUAAGUCCAUCCUUAAAAUAUAUUUCAAGAUCUAUCAGGCAGCAUAGACACAAAUUUCAAGGAGCAUGCAGACUACAGAUGGAGAGAAUACUGCUAAACUGAAGAUGGAUUGAGAGGUCUUCUGGGGCUGCACAUUGAAAAACACAUUUCAAUUCUGAAUAAAGGAGCACCAAGUCUGGUGCUACUGAAGCUGCUAUACAGAAGACCUCAUCACAACGCAUAUUAAAAGAACACCUUCACUAGAGAACGAAGCUGGUAAACACAGCCAUUCAUCCUGGUAACCUAUCACCUUUUCCCCCUCCACCUCCUGCUUAUUUCCUCCCCGGUCCAACCAAAAACAUUAUGCACACAAGCACAUACAUAUAUAUAUAUAUAUAUAUAUAUAUAUAUAUAUAUAUAUAUAUAUAUAUACGCAUGUGCAUAUUAUGGGUUUUAUACUCGAGAAAUAUGUUAAUCUACCAGGCUCGGCAAGGCACAUUUGGUGAGUGUAUUACCUGGUUAGCUAAAAUAACAGAAGGGAAAAGCUGGGGUAAGCAGGCUGAAGCCCCGUGUGUGGCCAAGGCAGCGGGAAGCAAGGCAGAGAGAGAGAGAAUGAACCCAACAACACAACAGUGGAACAGGCAGCUGGCCUGAGAUGCUAAUUCAGCGCUUUAACAAAUCAAUGCCACUUGAAAAGUACAAUGCGAGCCCUCACUGGGUAGAUGUCAAGGGACUGAGAAAAUGCAUUCUCAAGUAUUUCACAUUAAGAGGGAAUAAUGUGUUAAUUUAUAACUCUUCACCCUAUACACUUGGAUUAUCCAUCUGUGUCAGUGAUUUGACUUCUUAAAUUUAUCAAAAACAUGCGCAAAGGGAGGCAUCUUCUGCUAAAGCACUGGGAAAUAGCAAUUCAGAAACAGCCUGCCCUACUUGGUUGUUACGUGGAGAGUUGUGGGGUAGUGGGAUUUUUUUGUUGUUGUUUUUUUUUUCUUUGGACCCUUCGGUCAAAGGAAGGCCUUGCCUUAGCAGUGGCUGAUUGCAUUAGGUACCAUCCGUCAAAAGUGACACCACAGAGGAGUAAAAUCUUGAAUCAGCAACCUGAGAUGCCAUCAUCAGAAUUUAGUUUAAGGAAACUUAGCAAAUUCCCUCUGCACACCUUGCAGAAGAGAAACAGCUACGAUUAAAACGCCAUUCUAAAUGCCAGCUGAGAUCUACAGACAGUACUUAACUAAAAUCAAAAGAGAAAGCUGGGGAGGGAGAAUUAAAUUGGGCUUAUUUUGAUAUGAAUUGUACGUACGGGAUGUUUUCACAAAAACCUGAAAUAAAACUCCAUUAAGAAAAGUAUUACUGGUUGUCUUAAAGUCAGAUUCUUGAAACUGUUUCUUAACAUAAAACUUGUUCCAUUUAAUGACAUAGAUAAUACAAUUUUAUACGCAUAGAAAAUCCAAUGCCAGUCCAGAAAGCACAAAUCAAAACAUUUUUUUUUCUUUUGUCUGGAAAAUAGGUCUGUUUCAGAAUUUAAUACUUACUGGUUAACUUUGUGUUCAUUUUAUGUGCCAAGUUACCACUGUGAGAAUGAAGAACGUUGUAAGUAUGUCUAUUGAACACUUUAUGGUACGCACAGUGACAGCAUACCUUCAUCAUAAUGCAGAGGAGCAAAAUCCAAAGGCGCAAUAGGGAAAAUCCAUCCUGACAAGGAUCAGAUCAGUCAUAUUUAACACAGAGGCAGAGCACUUAAUGAUAAGUUUCAAACAAACAGUUAUCGAUGUAUGACUUUGAUACUAAAAAACAAAACAAAAUUAGGGAGAAAAAUGAAUUCUAAAAAUUGUUUAAAAUCUUAAGUGGCUUUUACUGCCUUAGGUGAAAUUAAAAAGGUGUGGGCAACUUUCUAGGUGUCUGCAUAAUUGUCACUUCUGUUUCAUUGCUUUUGUACUACACAGCAGCAGCUACAUUGUUGUAGGAAAUCUUUUGGUCAAUUAUACAAUUGCAAUAGUAACAGACACGGUCUUAUUUUCAGAACAUUCAUAUGUAAAUAAUAUGCUGAUGAAUGGAAAUUAGAUGCUAUAGAUGAUACGUAAAUAUUCACAUCUAGUAAAAGUAAAUGCUACUGCACUUAAACAGACUUCAGUGCUCUCGCUUCUACCACCCUUCCCUUCACUGGGAGAGGCAGGUACAACAUCAGAUUAGGGCAGGCAGCCUUCUGGGGUGUCCCUAUGGCUGCGAAAUUAACCAGGAGAAACACACAAGAUGGAAAAUGAAUUUGUUUUUGGCAGUAAAGCGCAUUAUAAUUUCUUGUUUUCAGACGUGAACUUCAUCUUUCCGAUUUUUUUUAAUUAAACAAAGAUCUGAGAAAUACAUAUGUUUUCUUUUUCACAAAGAACGCAAAAUCAUUUUCUUUCAAAACAGGUCACACCUAAAGGAAUAUUAUGCAUUUCUGGCACUAUGCACUUCUUUCACUUCUCUUCACAUGAAACCUUACGUAGGACAUAACAUGCAUGCUUCACAGGCUUGUUUGAAACCCUUGAGAAUCCUAAGGGGGCCUUUAGCUCUGUUUAUUAAUUAUAACAUGGAAAGGUACCACAUAUGUGCACCAAUGGCAGAAAAUCUGUAUCCUAGCCUCCUGCACAAUUUCUAUUCCUGUCUGUCCCAUUCAGACUUCUCUCUAAUAUAAGCUUUCUAUUCUUAUCAUUAUAGUACAUUUAAUCCCCCUCUGUUACUCCCCUCCCCCCUUUCUGGACUCACCUAAGGGGUUAAAAGACUAGAGUACAUUUGUGACUUGUCAGUGACAUAUAAUACCCAGGUCCUUCAUGCAAUCAACUUUUACUUGACAUGUAUUUGCUCAUCACAGGACCUGCAUUACUACUGGGAAAAUGAAGAAAAACCUAAAUUAACACUUGACAUUCAAUAUGGUCAAGUCCUUAAUUGGCUGGGCUUCCUGAGAAAGCAAUUUUCUAUUCCCCAAACUGUUCGUGUGUCAUGUGUGGAGUGCAGCUCUUGGCCAUCACUGCUGUCCCUCGCUCACUCUAAUGAGAGCAGAUGAAUUAGUGCUACGUGACACGAUUUUAGCAGGGCUCCCUCCUUCCCUCCCCCAGUCCUUUUCCUGUGUUAGUGACAGCUGUGUGGUGGGGGGUGGGGACAAGGACACCAAGAAAUGCUGGUUCAAAUAGUUCUGUGAAGACUGAAUAUUUUGAAAUAUGAAAUCUUAUAUGCUUUCUUGAUAUUCCUGGAAUCUGGUGAUCUAAAAGAAACAGGGAAGGGAGAAGGAGAUGCAGCAGUAUAAAGAUAUAAGAAAUUAGCUGAGUUUGGCUGGAUGCGAAUUAACUUCUAGCCUCUCCCCCAUUCUUGUAUUAACCUGUAGCAAUCUAAUUAAAAUGGAAAUUUUCUAUGCAGCAAAAGUAGUUCAAAAAUAUUUAGAGAGUGUCUGGCUAGAUGAACUUGCAAUUUUUGUGUGUAUAUUUCAUGUAAAACAAAAACAAAACCAAAAAGAAUCUUCCAUAUCAUGCUUCCUUGUGUGACAAAGAUCAUGUAAUACAAAAGAACAUUUGUGUGUCAUGUUUGGUGAUGACAAUCAUUGUACUCAAGUUUAUUUUUAGAAUAUGGGAAAUUUCUUUCAUCCAGAAUGGUUCUGCUCACUUUACAAUAUAAUUUGAAAGUCUAAUAAUGGUUUAACUAUUUGAAAGCCAAUGUAAAUCCCAUAAGGAGCUCAAGUGUUUGCUGACUGAUGGGAGAAAACAAAUUGUACUACUAAAAUAAACAUAAAAGCAAAUGAAAGUGAUGUAAAUAACUGAAGUUUCAGCUGAAAUCUUUGGAUAAUGAACUAGGAUGAAGAGUCUAAAGAAGCAGGAUAUUCAAAAUAAUGAAGUUAAAACACCAGAAAGAAAAAAAAAAAAAAAACAUUUAAUUUAAUAUUGCAAAUGCAUAGGUGACUACAAACUAUUUCUAGCUCUACAUAAUUGUAUGGUUUCACUGAACUUAUUGUGUGAAACAGAAAAAGCAACACAUAUAACCUGUAUUGUGAAUGAUUUUUGAAGAUAUCUAGCAAUGAACAAUCAACUUAUGCAAGAACUGUAAGAGUUAUAUUAACAGUACAGUUGAACUUGCCUCAGGAAGAGUCCUUGUCUCAGAUAAAAAACAAGUCGAAUCACCAUUUGCAAGUCAUGGCUCCAAACUGGAACCUGGCCUUGUAAAGUUAUAUUAUUUCAAUAAUAUAACAAACAGUACAUGCUGUUAGUUACCAGAAAAAAAAAAAAGAAUGACAACAUUUUUG